rnacentral:rRNA from 1 species
UGGGGAAUAUUGCACAAUGGGCGCAAGCCUGAUGCAGCCAUGCCGCGUGUAUGAAGAAGGCCUUCGGGUUGUAAAGUACUUUCAGCGGGGAGGAAGGGUGUAAAGUUAAUACCUUUGCUCAUUGACGUUACCCGCAGAAGAAGCACCGUCUAACUCCGUGCCAGCAGCCGCGGUAAUACGGAGGGUGCAAGCGUUAAUCGGAAUUACUGGGCGUAAAGCGCACGCAGGCGGUUUGUUAAGUCAGAUGUGAAAUCCCCGGGCUCAACCUGGGAACUGCAUCUGAUACUGGCAAGCUUGAGUCUCGUAGAGGGGGGUAGAAUUCCAGGUGUAGCGGUGAAAUGCGUAGAGAUCUGGAGGAAUACCGGUGGCGAAGGCGGCCCCCUGGACGAAGACUGACGCUCAGGUGCGAAAGCGUGGGGAGCAAACAGG